AUGCAUUCAGACACAGACACAUCAGCUGUAUUGUACCAUACAGUUGCGAGGGGCUCAUGGUUCGGUCCAUGUCAGGAGGAAAGCCGAUUCGAAGACGGCGCGGUCAUACAGAAUCGGGGCGACGCCUCCGCGGCGACCGCCGUCAACUCGCGUGACCUCAUCGAGCGCGCUGCCGAUCCGACCUGCGUAGCCGGAGCAUGCUCCGAUGAACUGCUCGCCGUGUCCCACUGCCGCCUGUGCCUUCACCAAGUAUUGCUGAAUGCACUGCAUCUUUCGGGCGAACGGUGCGCGGUCGAGGCACACGUACACCUCGCCUGUGGGGAAUCGGCGGUCGGCGUCGAACGGUGUGGCGUGGCCGUAGAGCUCGGCGAUGGCCGCUCUCGCCGCCUCGCGGUUUGGGACCUCUAG
rnacentral:rRNA from 1 species